UUCUCACUACUUCAAAAACACAAGCAGCCCUCUGUGGUGGCAUAUACCUUUAAUCUCAGCACCCCAGAGGAAGAAUCAGGAGGAUUUGGGGUUAUAAAUGAGUCCUGGCUACAGAGUAAGUUUGUGUGCAGCCUGACCUAGAUAGUAAGAUCUUGUCUCUAAACAGUAACUAACCCAUCAAACAACAACAAUAACAAAAUACCCACAAAAUAAAAGGGGAUAGUAAUAUUUGAUGUUCUAUUUUUGAUUUAUAUAUAGUUUGUAAACAUUUUGAAAGUGGCUUAAUUAUAGUCUGAAGAAGGAUGAAAAUGUCAGCAAGCUGUGUAACAGUUUCCUCUGAGAUUGAAACUUUCCACCUUGCAGGUAAACUCUUUAAACCGGAAGAUAAACAACUCAAAAUAGUUUCAGGAAGUCCCUGAAAUAGAGCAGAUUGACUAGGCCCCUCCCUGCCAGAGUAAGCAAUAAAAGCCAAGAGUCCCCCUCAAAGGAGCAAAGCCAACCUGCAAAGAAGAAUCUCAACAUAGUCAAGCUGCAAAGAAGACUUUGUCACAGACCUCUUGCCUGGUAGAAGCAGAAACCCAUCAAACUGCCUGGAAGAGGUUUGGAGCAACUGAGGUUCCUGGAAAGGGCACACUCCAACUGUUGGCUGACUGGAAGUUGUGACAUGUUCCAGUUCCCUGCUUUGUGAGCUGCCACCCAUAAUAGGGUGGGCUUUGGUGAUGCAGCUGUCUUCGAGUCACUUCUGUUCCUGUAAAUAACCAUCACCCAUAUUCCUCGUUGCUUUUAGGAGCCUUGCUGACCCAGGCUGCAACAUCACUGAAAAGUUCCACCCCAACAUGAUUUACAACUCUGAAUGCCUGCGUCACUAGAGUCCCCUGCACAGUACCGGGCAGUCAGCUACACCACUCAAUGGAAGAGUCCUCUCCUCCAUUGCUGGUCCCUGAUCACAUGGCUUAAAGUCACAUCACCACACCUUCCAUCCCUAUGUAACACUAUCAACCCGGAAAGGAAAAAUCCAAAGUCUGCUCAAACCUAAAUCUCUGUCGACUCCUCAGCUGCGCCUGAGCAGUGAAAUGCCGAUGUAUGCCCAAGCUGACUGCUUGCUUGCUAUGAUCUACGGCUUCGGUGGUUUUAGCCUAACUGUGCGAUGCUACUGUCAUUUCCUAAUAGCUAAUAGUGACCUUUGUUUCCUACGCCAACCAAAGGUGAAUUCCACAUCUCUGGUCACAUCUGCCAAACUACUGAAAACUGAGCCUUCAAGCUUCUGACCGCAAAGGAUGACUUAUCGGAUAUAUGUGGAAGACACAUUCUGUCUGAGCUCUGCAUGCCUCUUCCUUGUCUAACUGGUUCUUCUUGAAUAUCAUUGCAUGGAGACGCCCCCAUGAGCAUUCUUCAACUUCCAGGGCAACUUCAAGUGAUCCAUAUUAUGCUUGGAAGAAAGAUGGUGUCCUCAGGGUCUGUGGUACCCAGAGCUCACUAAUGUCUAAAGGAGGAACUAGAACUGGCUGGGGCCUCGCAGGUCCUAUAUUCUACCUCCAGAGAUUCUGACCUAUUCAACAAUCACAUGCUGAUGUUCAGAAAGCUGGCCAGACUUCAGAAUCAAGAAUCCUGAUCAUAACUUGACAAAAACACUUAGGAGUAUGGAACCUAUCAAGCAAAACUCUCCAGGCAAUGAGACACGUGAAAGCUUUUAUUUUAUAUAUUUUUCAACCCCAUGUUUAAGAUAACUGUUUCAUUUGAGCUGGACAAACAUCUAUGGUCGGGAGCACCAGUGUUUUGCUCCCGUGCUCUCCCUGAGAAAUGGAGACUGGCGGAGGCUUCUCAAGCAAUACAAUGUGAAAGUGCCAUGUCAGGUGUCCAAGGACAAUCUUUGUGUUUCCUAAAACUAAAAAUCUAACUCCGUAUGAAAAACUAAAAUACAUAUGGAAUUACAAGGAAAAGCUAAAAAAUCAAAAUGCCUGAAUAUCUAGAGCAAUUCUUAGCUAAAAGAACAAAGGGGGAGAUAUGCUACCUGACACCUAGGGUCUAAUUCUGUUGACAUCAGUGGUAGCAUGCUCGGCUGUGCAUUUGGUCCUAAGUAUUGUGAAAAAGAAUUUAUGUAUAUAGAAUACAUGGAUGUAAAUAUAUACAGAGAAAUAUAUAUAUAUACAUACACUCAUACAUACAUAGAACUACAGUAAUGAAAGCAGCAGGAGAUUAGCAUAAAAACAGCCAUAUGGAGCAAUGGAACAGAAUAUAGAUCCUAGAAGAAAACUCCCUCAUCCAAAACCAGGUGAUUUUUGAGGAAGAUGCCAAGAACAUAUGCAGAGGAAAGAGCAACCUCUUCAGUAAAAAGCACUGAAUAACUUGGAUUUCCUUAGGAAGAAUGAAGUUAGACCCCUAUCAUUUCUCACAAAGAUCAACUAAGAAUAGAUAGGACUUAAACAUAGGAUUCAGGUUAUAAAACUGCUAGAAGGGAACACAGGGAAAAUGAUCAUGACUCUGAAAUGGUAUUUUCUUCUUUUGAUAAAACUUCAAAAUGUGCUGGAAACAAAAGCAAAAAUAGAUAAUUGGGAUUAUGUCAAACAACAAAAAAGUUCCCUAUGUAGCAAGAGAGAUGACGAACUGAAUGAAGAGACACCCUACCGGAUGAGUGAAAACAUUUGCAAACUGUUCAUUUGAGAAGAGCUAAUACCCAGAACACAAGAGCAAUGGAAACAAGUCAAUGGUGUGUGUUCCCCCAUCCCCCCAGGCCAGAUUUCAAAAUGGUGAGCAGACUGUCCUAGCCAUACAUCUGUUGCUGUGACAAAAUACCACAACCAAGGUAACUCUUAAAAGAAAACGUUUAAUUAGGGCUUUCUUAUAGUUUCAGAGGUUUAAUCUGUUUAUAAUCACAGGGGGCGGGGCAGAGCACAGCAGCUUGCAGGCAGGUGCUGGAGCUAAACUGUAGUUUAGUUCAGCUGUAGCUGAGAACGAAACCCUGAUCCACAGACAGGAAGAGAGAAAAGCCCUGGCAAGGGCUUUUCAAACCUCAAGGGUCAACCCAACAACACCCUUCCUCUAACAAGGCCACACGUUCUAAUCAUUUUCAGUGUCACUCCCUGCUAACUAAGUAUUUAAAUACAGAAGCCUAUGGGGACAUUCUUAUUCAAGUUUUCACACAGACCUAAAGACACACUUGUCAAAAGAAGACAUGCAAAUAACCAUCAGAACUUGAAAAUAUGCCCAUUGUGUGAAUCUAAGGGAAAUGCUUACCCAGACCACAAUGGGGUGUCUCACCUCCUCUCAGAAGGACUAUUAAAAAAAAAAAAACCCCUAAGGAAAAUGAGUACUUGCAAGGAUAUGGAGAAAGGAAAUACACACUGGUGUUGGUAAUGUGACACAGAUAUUAUAAAGAAGGUACAGAGGUGCCUCAAAAAAAAAUUACAGCUAGAACUACAGUUAACCCAUCAAUUAUAUUACUGUAUAUACACUUCUGAGAAAUGAAACAAUUUUGCCAAAGAUAUAUCUGGGCUUUCCUGUCCAUUGUAGCACUAUUCAGUUAUUUAUUUAUUUAUUGUAGGCUUUUUGUUUUUUUGUUUUUUUGUUUUUAAAGACAAGGUCUCUGGCUCUGGUUGGCUGGGAACUCACAGGUGUCUGCCUGCCUCUGCCCCCUGAAUGCUGCCAUCAGAAGUGCACACCAUCACAACUGGCUGUAGCACUAUUCAGAAUGACUAAGACAUGAAGAACUUAAGUCCCUUCACCUGAUGAAUGGACAAGGAAUAUACAGUAUACACACACUGUGGAGUAUACAGUAUACACACACUGUGGAGUAUACAGUAUACACACACUGUGGAGUAGUAUACAGCGGUAAAAGAAUAAAACCUUGUUAUCUGCAACAAUGUGGGAGAAGUUGUGCAAGUCACAAUGUUAAGUGAAAGACUCCAGGUACAGAAAAAGAAAAAAAAUCCUAUUUUCUCUCUUAUAUAAGGAAGCUAGAUAGACAUAUGGACAUUAGUAAAGAGGUGGUUACCAGAGGCUGGGGAGAGGAGAAGAGAGGGAAGGGUGUGGAAGGACUUAGUACAGGUAGGUACUAAGUUAUGCUUAAUUAAAAUAGAUACUUUCUGCUGUUCUGGUGCACAGUGGAAAAAGGAUAGGUAGUGGUGAUGCCAAUAUAUUUCGAGUUUUUUGUUUUGUUUUGUUUAAUGGUUUCAACACAAAGGUAUUAAAAGGGUGAGGGCAAUAAGGUGGCUUAUCAGGUAAGGGCACUUCCAGCAGCCCUGAAGACUUGAAUUUGAUCCCCAGGGCCCACACAGUGGAAGGAGGGAGCCACACAGGUUAUAUUCUGAUCUCAUUCACACACAAGCCCUAGCCUUCUGUGUGGCCACAAAAUAAGUAAACAGGUAUAAUGAAAAGUUUUGAAGUAAUUUUAUUUCCGAUUAAAAGUGAGGCUAACACAAUGGAAGAGACAUUGUAGCUCCCAGCUACAGCAUCUCAAUAGCAUCAUUGACUCUGGUGACUGGAUUGUACUCCAGGGCUGCUAUAGAACCUUCCUACAGUGAUAACAGAAAGGCCGAUCACUUGAAACACCCCUCCCCUCCCCAAUCCCAGUGAUUACUGUGUGGAAGCCCCAGUGGAACACUCUGCUUCUCACAGCAACCUUGAGGCAGAAGUUGACUCUCCCACUUUCCUGAUGUGCCCUAAGCUGUACUUCCUAGUGUCUCUCAGAGAGACCUUGCCACUGUCUGUAACUUAGCUGGUGACUCCGUGCUCCUCUCUCUGGAAGAGGAGGUCUGGUGCAUUUGUCAUUUGCGCUCUCAUUUUGAAGUUCUUACCGCUGGAUAAUCUGCAUUGAUACACCAAGAUCUGUGUUAGAUUUAAAGAUAUUUUGGUUUUCUUCAUUGUAGAGGAAACCAAAGCACAGAAUAAGUUACAACGUACUCAGUAUGGGGAUCAUAUUAUUGGGUGAAAACUCUAAUUUCUUUAUUAAAAAAUUGUGUGUGUGUGUGCUACAGUACAUAUGUGGCGGUCAGGGGACAACUUUGUAGAGUUAAUUCUUUCUUUUAGGGACUGAGCUAAGGUAGUGAAGAUUUCUUGGCAAGUACCUUCACCUGAGCCUUCUCAAUAGCCCACUUUUUUUUUCUUUUCUUUUUUCUUUUUCUUUUUUUCUUUCUUUCUUUCUUUCUUUCUUUCUUUCUUUCUUUCUUUCUUUCUUUCUUUCUUUUUUUUUUUUUGAGACAGGUUUUUCUAUCUAGCUCUAUCUGUCCUGGACCCUUCUCUUUAGACCAGACUGGACUUGAACUCACAGAGAUCCACCCACCUCUGCUUCCCAGCAUCAUUAUCACCACCCAGCUGUCCAUGAAUUUCUUACUGCAACAUUCACUAGCAUCAAUAUCAUAGUCACACUUAAAUAAACCCCUUUAUAUUUUAGAGUCUUUCAGUACUAAUUUCACAGGAAGGACAAAGGAUGUCCACAGGCCACCAUGAUCACAUGUGAACACCUCCCAACUAUCGACACUCUGCCCGAGUGGCACCUUUUGUGAACGUGCUGUGACACAUCCUUAUCAGUCAAAGCCCACAGUUCACAUCUGGGAGUCAGACUCCAUGUUGUCCAUUCUGCAGGUUUGGACAAAGUCUCUCAUGACAUGAACACAGCCCUGUGUGUUAUAUAGAGUAGUUUCACUGUCUUAAAAUUUCAUCUAACUCUUCCCACCCACCCCUUCACUAAUCCCAGGCAGCCACUGAUCUUUUAAUGUCAACACAUUUUUUUCAUAAUGUCACAUGGUUGUAAACAAACUGUGCAGCUCUUUCAGAUGUCUGCUCUCUUCUUACUCAUGUGCAUCCAAAGCUCUGUGCCCCUUCAUGGCUCAGUGGCUUUUUGGAGAGGGGCAGGGGUACUAUAUAUUUCUCAGGAUAUACCAGAGUAUAACCAUUUGCCUAUUGAAAUACAGUUUGAUCACUUGAAAACUUUGGCAUUUACAAACAAAGCUGCUUUAAACAUCUGUGUGGAUUUGGGUGGAAAUGGUUUUCAGUUCCUUUGAGUGAAUGUGGAAGAACACACUUGUUUGUAUGGAAGGAGUAUUUUUAGUGUUGUGAGAAAUAUCCAGACUGGCUUCCAAAGUAUGGGGCCCAUUCUUGAGCCAUGCUGAAAUGGUGUUUUGUUGUUGUUUCAUUUUUGUUUUUGUCAUUGAAAUCUAUCUGUUCAUUUUUAAUUAUGCAGAAAACAACUGGCUUUUGCAUAUUAGCCUUGAAUUUUGUAACUCUUCCACGGACAUUUAAUAGCUUCAUGAGGUUUUCUUUUGAUGAAUUUUUAAACUUCUCUGAACUUUUGUUUUUAUUUUAGCCAGUCUGCUGGUGAUUCCUAAAUGAUUAGAUGCUCACUGUCAGGAUCUUAAUUUAACUAUUAAAACAGGUUUGCUACUAAACAGAUGCCUGUGUGGUUUGAAUGUGAAUGCUCCCUAUACAGGACUGUCCAACUGUGAAACAGUGGUCUCUAAAGUUCACAUUCAAGACCCUUAUAAGGAUUACUAAAAAAAAAAAAAAAAAAAA